rnacentral:misc_RNA from 1 species
AACGCACAUUGCGCCUAAGAGUAUUCUUUUAGGCAUGCCUGUUCGAGCGUCGUUUAAACCCUAAAGCAUUGCUUUUUGUUGGCAUCUCGGAUGUUGUUCGAGUGCCCAAAUACAUUGGCGAUUGAAGUAGCCGAAAGCGCAGCGAAAUGCGAAUUGAAAGCUACGGAAAGUCCGCCAGUUAACCACAAAACUCGACCUCGGAUCAAGCAAGAUUACCCGCUGAACUUAA